rnacentral:rRNA from 1 species
GUGGGGAAUAUUGCGCAAUGGGCGAAAGCCUGACGCAGCGACGCCGCGUGAGGGAUGAAGGUUUUCGGAUCGUAAACCUCUGUCAGAAGGGAAGAAACUACAUUGUGCUAAUCAGCAGUGUACUGACGGUACCUUCAAAGGAAGCACCGGCUAACUCCGUGCCAGCAGCCGCGGUAAUACGGAGGGUGCAAGCGUUAAUCGGAAUUACUGGGCGUAAAGCGCACGUAGGCUGUAGUGUAAGUCAGGGGUGAAAGCCCACGGCUCAACCGUGGAACUGCCUUUGAUACUGCACAACUUGAAUCCGGGAGGGGGUGGCGGAAUUCCAGGUGUAGGAGUGAAAUCCGUAGAUAUCUGGAGGAACAUCAGUGGCGAAGGCGGCCACCUGGACCGGUAUUGACGCUGAGGCGCGAAAGCCAGGGGAGCGAACGGGAUUAGAUACCCCAGUAGUCC